UCAUAUGUGAUAUCUGACUAGGGAUCCAAAUAUACAUUUUUUAUUGUAGAAGAUAACAAUACAGUGGAUAAAAUCUUAAUAAAGAGUGCAGCAUAUAUUUAGCAUUGCACUCCUGUAACAUUGUCAGAUUGGAGAUAUACAGUUAAAAAAUAAAAAGGAUCAACAUUGACAUUGUCUUUGUCUUUUUUUCUUCCUUCCUUAGCAGAACCUGGUGCCUGCAUUACCCACAAUGCAGUUCGAGCAGAGAUGAGGAGCGGGCUACAGAGCAUGCGCCUCUCCCUCUUACGGCCUGAACCCUCUGCCAACUGUUGCAGCAGGUUAAGACCUGUGGGAAGUCCCCAACCACACACACCUUCAUCUAUUCGCCCAAGAGUACACACAACCAGGCACAUGUGAAAUGAGUCAGGAGCAGUGAGUCCUUCAAGUCAUCUCAUCCCAGUGCAAAGCUGAAAGUAUGUAUCUCCCACAUCUUGAUGUGCACAUUGAUUGCAUUUUUAUCAACAUGUAACAAUCCUUAACAAUAAAAGUACAUAAACUACA